ACUCGGGAAUUGCAUCUGAAACUGCUUUGCUUGAGUCCUGGAGGGGGUAGUGGAAUUCCCAGUGUAGCGGUGAAAUGCGUAGAUAUUGGGAGGAACACCUGCGGCGAAGGCGGCUACCUGGACAGUGACUGACGCUGAGGCGCGAAAGCUAGGGGAGCGAACGGGAUUAGAUACCCCGGUAGUCCUAGCCGUAAACGAUGGGCACUUGGUGUUGGGGGUAUUGAGUCCCCCGGUGCCGGAGUUAACACGUUAAGUGCCCCGCCUGGGGAGUACGGUCGCAAGACUGAAACUCAAAGGAAUUGACGGGGGCCCGCACAAGCGGUGGAGCAUGUGGUUUAAUUCGAUGCAACGCGAAGAACCUUACCUACUCUUGACAUCCAGAGAACUUUCCAGAGAUGGAUUGGUGCCUUCGGGA
rnacentral:rRNA from 1 species